rnacentral:rRNA from 1 species
GUGAGGAAUAUUGGACAAUGGCCGGAAGGCUGAUCCAGCCAUGCCGCGUGAAGGAUAAGGUCCUAUGGAUUGUAAACUUCUUUUGAGUGGGAGCAAUAAGGAUGUCGUGACAUCCGAUGAGAGUACCAUUCGAAUAAGCAUCGGCUAACUCCGUGCCAGCAGCCGCGGUAAUACGGAGGAUGCGAGCGUUAUCCGGAUUUAUUGGGUUUAAAGGGUGCGUAGGCGGUUUGUCAAGUCAGCGGUGAAACGCAAGGGCUCAACCCUUGACCUGCCGUUGAAACUGAUUGACUAGAAUGCGGAUGCUGUGGGAGGAAUGUGUGGUGUAGCGGUGAAAUGCAUAGAUAUCACACAGAACACCGAUUGCGAAGGCAUCUCACAAAUCCGUGAUUGACGCUGAGGCACGAAAGUGUGGGGAUCAAACAGG